rnacentral:lncRNA from 1 species
UGAAUAAGGUUGUUUUCAUUUCAAUUGGAUGUCUCCUCGAUCAUGCACAACUUGUUAAAAAGUCACAAAAGAUUUCUAUUAUUUUUAAAUCGUCAAAAGCAGUCAUAUACGAAAGAGCAUACGAUGCAAUCAUCUGGAAGCUCCAAGUAAUCAAGAAGAUGAAGGAUUUCAAACGUAGAAUGUUGGUAGAAAUUCUCAAUCAUGUUAUCGCAAAGAUCAAAUUUUGCAAAAGAAUUUCGCUCUCUGUCAAAUUUGAAAAGAAAGUUAUGAUUAAUGGAGAGCAUGCCUUCGAGUCUGAAAAUGAUGAAAUGAUGCAAAUGGCCACAAAUACC